rnacentral:rRNA from 2 species
UACGUAGGGUGCGAGCGUUAAUCGGAAUUACUGGGCGUAAAGCGUGCGCAGGCGGUUAUAUAAGACAGUUGUGAAAUCCCCGGGCUCAACCUGGGAAUUGCAUCUGUGACUGUAUAGCUAGAGUACGGUAGAGGGGGAUGGAAUUCCGCGUGUAGCAGUGAAAUGCGUAGAUAUGCGGAGGAACACCGAUGGCGAAGGCAAUCCCCUGGACCUGUACUGACGCUCAUGCACGAAAGCGUGGGGAGCAAACAGG